UGGGGAAUAUUGGACAAUGGGCGCAAGCCUGAUCCAGCCAUGCCGCGUGAGUGAUGAAGGCCCUAGGGUUGUAAAGCUCUUUUGUCCGGGACGAUAAUGACGGUACCGGAAGAAUAAGCCCCGGCUAACUUCGUGCCAGCAGCCGCGGUAAUACGAAGGGGGCUAGCGUUGCUCGGAAUCACUGGGCGUAAAGGGCGCGUAGGCGGACGUUUAAGUCAGGGGUGAAAUCCCAGGGCUCAACCCUGGAACUGCCUCUCAUACUGGCGAUCUCGAGUCCGGAAGAGGUGAGUGGAAUUCCGAGUGUAGAGGUGAAAUUCGUAGAUAUUCGCAAGAACACCAGUGGCGAAGGCGGCUUACUGGUCCGGUUCUGACGCUGAGGCGCGAAAGCGUGGGGAGCAAACAGGAUUAGAUACC
rnacentral:rRNA from 1 species